GGGCAUAUAAGAAAGUUCAGCUAAUAAAAAGUUCAUGGAGCAUUAAAUUAAAAUUAACAGUCUAAUAACAUGAGGAAUUUUUAACCCAUCAAAUUGGGAUUUAGUCUUCUGUAAAGUCACACAAUGUACAACAAGUACAACUCCCCUCUACAUUGCAUCAUCUAAAAAACAGAAAAGAGAGACAUACACGUGAUAUUUUAGAUCUUGCUGAGAAACUCAGUGCCAAAUGUGCCAACCAAAGAU
rnacentral:misc_RNA from 1 species